AUGAUGGGACUCGAUCUUAAAAUGUAUUCCAAGUAUUGGGCAAUCCCUCUUCAACCUCCUUCCAAAAUAGUACUUUUUAAAAAUUAUUAUUAUACUUUAAGUUCUGGGAUACACGUGCAGAAAGUGCAGGCCCCUCUGCUGCAUAUCUGCUGGAGUUUGCUGGAGGUCCACUCCAGACCCUGUUUGCCUGGGUAUCACCAGCAGAAGCUGCAGAACAGCAAAGAUUGCUGCCUGUUUCUACUUCUGGAAGCUUUGUCCCAGAGUGGCACCCACCAGAUGCCAGCCAGAGUUCUCCUGUAUGAGGUAUCUGUCGACUCCUGCUGGGAGGUGUCUCCAAGUUAGGAAGCACGGGGGUCAGGGACCCACUUGAGGAGGCAGUCUGUCCCCUAGCAGAGCUUGAGCACUAUGCUUGGAGAUCCACUGCUCUCUUCAGAGCCAGCAGGCAGGAACAUUUAAGUCUGCUGAAGCUGCACCCAGAGCUGCCUCUUCCCCCAGGUGCUAUGUGCCAGGGAGAUGGGAGUUUUAUCUAUAAGUGCCUGACUGGAGCGCCUGCCUUUCUUUCAGGGAUGCCCUUUCCAGAGAGGAGGAAUCUAGAGAGGCAGUCUGGCUACAGCAGCUUUGCCAAGCUGCAGUGGGCUCUGUCCAGUACGAAUUUCCCAGUGGCUUUGUUUACACUGUGAGGGGAAAACUGCCUACUCAAGCCUCAGUAAUGGCAGGCGUAUCUCCCCCCAUCAAGCUCCAACAUGCCAGGUUGACUUCAGACUGCUGUGCUGGCAGUGAGAAUUUCAAGCCAGUGGAUCUUAGCUGGCUGGGCUCCAUGGGGGUGGGAUCUGCUGAACUAGACCACUUGGCUCCUUGGCUUCCAACACCUUUCCAGGGGAGUGAACAGCUUUGUUUCACUGGCAUUCCAGGCACCACUGGGUUAUGAAAACGAAUUCUUGCAGCCAGCUUGGUGUCUGCCCAAACGGCCACCCAGGUUUGUGCUUGAAACCCAGGGCCGUGGUGGUGUAGGCACUGAAGGAAUCUCCUGGUCUGUGGGUUGCGAAGACCAUGGGAAAAACAUAGUAUCUGGGCCGGAGUGCACCGUUCCUCACAGCACAGUCCCUCGUGGUUUCCCUUGUCUAGGGGAGGGAGUUCCCUGACCCCUUGCACUUCCCAAGUAAGGUGGGACACCCCACCCUGUUUUGGCUCGCCCUCCCGUGGGCUGCACCCACCGUCUAACCAGUCCCAAUGAGAUGAGCUGGGCACCUCAGUUGGAAAUGCAGAAAUCACCAGCCUUCUGUGUUGAUCUCCCUGGGAACUGCAGACCUGAGCUGUUCCUAUUAGGCCAUUUUGCCAGCCCAGUAAUCCAAAAUAGUACUUAUAUAUACAUAUGUAUUUUUUUAACCUGCUUUCAAUGGCAGGUUUUACCUCCCCUGCAUAUAAAAGAAGUUUGUGCUGGAUCUUCUGGCCCUGAAUUAAGAGUGACGUGGUUGGAGAGGUAGUGAGUGCCUUUCUUGGGAAGUUUGUUUCCCAUCCUUUGGGUGAGUUGGUUCCAUCAUGAAGAUGGUAGUCUUGUAACCAACUUGAGAAGGAACCAUUCUGGUUUAACAGCUGGACUCAAACAGUAUGGAUUUGGUGACGUGACUGCCAUUGGCUAGCCCUUGGGUUAGAUUCUCCAAUCUAGGUCUCCAUGAGAGCUGGAAUCUUUUACCACUUGAGGGUCUGCAGUAUAAUAAAGAAUAACUCUUCCAGCCAGCAGAUCAGAUCUCCAGAGAUAGGGGUUUUCCUAUACUCAAAGGAACAGAACAGGGAGGCCUUUUAUCAUUAAUCAACAUCAAGUGUAUUGUGGGAAGUCCCAGUCAGUGUUUUGGGGCCUACAAAUACCAAGUCUGGGCGAAUUCCAAGCCCCAAGGGAUCCUGGAGCAAGGUUGCUUCAGUCCAUUUGAAAUCUUUUCCAAGAACAUGAAGAACGUCUUCAGGUGAGCCUAGUCCCCCUUUCUUGAGUUGCAGUUGUGAAGAUUGAUAUCUUGGUCUUGGCUCAUGCUCCCAUUUUUCUUUUCUGCUGUUAUUAUUCCUCUAGGAGAGAUUCAAGUUUUCUUAUCUGGUUUUGGAAACAAUGAGUUCAGGCUAUCUCUGCAUUUUAGUUCAAAAAUAUAGUAUCUGAGAAUGAAUUUACAGAAUGAAAUUCCUAGCAUGUGUCAACAGUGAGAUGCCCUUUUCUCAGUUCUAAAUUUUGUGACUCUGUGAUGGCUCCCUAUUUCACUCAGGGUAAAAGCUAAAGUCCUUACAGGGACUUCAAGACUCAAAACUCCUGACCUUGUGCAUUCUGACCUCAUCUAUGGAUUCCCGCCCCUGCACCCCCGCUUAUCCUUGCUGUUUCUUGAGCAUACCAGGGAUGUGCCUGCCUCAGAGCCUUUGCUUUAGCAGUUCCCUCUGCCCCCAGAUAUCCACAUGGCCCACUCCUUUAUCUCUAACAGCUCACGUUUCAGUGAGGCCUUCCUUGACUCUGUUUAACACUGCAACCUGCCUUUCCAGUCCUCCCAGCACUCCUGACUGCCCUACUGUGGUGUGCUUAUUAUUUUCCAAAGUACUUAGAAAUAUUAUGUUACCUAAUUAUUUUCACAUCGUCGUUUUUCUCCCAUAUGCCAGAAUGGAAACUCCAUAAGAGAAGCAAUUUUUGUCUGCUGUGUUCACUGAUAAAUCCCACAUGCCUAGAACAGUGUCAUUGUGCAGGGUACACAGAAGGGUCUCAACAAAUAUAUGGUAAGUCUUCCGUUCACAUCAUUGAUAGGUUCUUAGGAAAUGACUUGAGAUAAUUUUAUCAUAGGCCAAUUGAUAAACAAGAAUUAAGUUUCUACAGCAUAUUUCUGGUCACAAAAACAUCACCAAACUUCUAAAUAAAGACCAAGACACCUCUGAUAUUAAACAUUGAAAUAAAUGUGAGUUAUACAUACAUUUAGGAAAGAUUCAUAAAAACAAGUAAGAUAAUGAUUUACCCACUUAUUCCAGUUGAGGGUCUUGGGUGGCCAGAGCCCAUCCUGGCAGCUCAGAGCAAAUGACAGAAACCCACUCUGGACAGGUUGCCCUCCCAUUGUGGGGCACACUCACACAGUCACACUCACACACCCACACUGGGAGUGUAGAUAUGCCACUUAACCUAACAUGUACAGGUUUGGGAUGUGGGAGGAAACUGGAGGGCCCGGAGAAAACCUACACAGAAACGAGAAUGUGUAGACCCCACACAGUGGCCCUGGCUGGGAUGUGAUAUUUUCUUAUUGACAUCCUAACUAAAUGACAUCGAACUAAAUGACAUUCGAGGAUUUGGUGUGUGCAUGUAUGUAUGUGUAUAUAAAUACACAGAUAUGUGUGUAUAUUUAUGUGUAUGUAUAUUGACAUGUA
rnacentral:lncRNA from 1 species